rnacentral:rRNA from 1 species
UACGAAGGUGACUAGCGUUGUUCGGAAUCAUUGGGCGUAAAGCGCGCGUAGGCGGCUCGGAAAGUCGGUCGUGAAAUGCCGGGGCUCAACCCCGGGACUGCGUCCGAUACUCCCGAGCUGGAGGCAGGUAGGGGAGAUCGGAAUUCCUGGUGUAGCGGUGAAAUGCGCAGAUAUCAGGAGGAACACCGGUGGCGAAGGCGGAUCUCUGGGCCUUGCCUGACGCUGAGGCGCGAAAGCUAGGGGAGCGAACAGG